rnacentral:rRNA from 1 species
UAGAUGAACAAUAAGAUCAUGUCAAAAGCCACAGCUAUGUGAUCGAACCAAAUGAACACUUAUUGAAUAUCUUUGGUUGGGGCGACCACGGGGAAAAAAAUAACCCCCAUGAGGAGUGAGAGUAAGCUCUUAUAUUUAAGAACUACCGUUCCAAAACCCAGAAUAUCUGACCAAAUGAUCCGGUGAGCCGAUCAACGAACCGAGUUACCCUAGGGAUAACAGCGCAAUCCCCUUUUAGAGUCCCUAUCAACAAGGGGGUUUACGACCUCGAUGUUGGAUCAGGACAUCCUAAUGGUGCAGCUGCUAUUAAG